UACGUAGGUCCCGAGCGUUGUCCGGAUUUAUUGGGCGUAAAGCGAGCGCAGGUGGUUUAAUAAGUCUGAUGUAAAAGGCAGUGGCUCUACCAUUGUGUGCAUUGGAAACUGUUAGACUUGAGUGCAGUAGAGGAGAGUGGAAUUCCAUGUGUAGCGGUGAAAUGCGUAGAUAUAUGGAGGAACACCGGUGGCGAAAGCGGCUCUCUGGACUGUAACUGACACUGAGGCUCGAAAGCGUGGGUAGCAAACAGG
rnacentral:rRNA from 1 species